UUGAUCCUGGCUCAGAUUGUACGCUGGCGGCAGGCCUAACACAUGCAAGUCGAGCGGCAGCACAAGGGAGUUUACUUCUGAGGUGGCGAGCGGCGGACGGGUGAGUAAUGCCUAGGGAUCUGCCCAGUCGAGGGGGAUAACAGUUGGAAACGACUGCUAAUACCGCAUACGCCCUACGGGGGAAAGGAGGGGACCUUCGGGCCUUCCGCGAUUGGAUGAACCUAGGUGGGAUUAGCUAGUUGGUGAGGUAAUGGCUCACCAAGGCGACGAUCCCUAGCUGUUCUGAGAGGAUGAUCAGCCACACUGGGACUGAGACACGGCCCAGACUCCUACGGGAGGCAGCAGUGGGGAAUAUUGCACAAUGGGGGAAACCCUGAUGCAGCCAUGCCGCGUGUGUGAAGAAGGCCUUCGGGUUGUAAAGCACUUUCAGUAGGGAGGAAAGGGUGUAACUUAAUACGUUAUAUCUGUGACGUUACCUACAGAAGAAGGACCGG
rnacentral:rRNA from 1 species